UGGUACUGAGACACGGACCAGACUCCUACGGGAGGCAGCAGUGAGGAAUAUUGGUCAAUGGGCGAGAGCCUGAACCAGCCAUGCCGCGUGCAGGAAGAAUGCCCUAUGGGUUGUAAACUGCUUUUAUCAGGGAAUAAACCUUUCUACGUGUAGGAAGCUGAAGGUACCUGAUGAAUAAGCACCGGCUAACUCCGUGCCAGCAGCCGCGGUAAUACGGAGGGUGCAAGCGUUAUCCGGAAUCAUUGGGUUUAAAGGGUCCGCAGGCGGAUUUAUAAGUCAGUGGUGAAAGCCUAUUGCUCAACAAUAGAACUGCCAUUGAUACUGUAAGUCUUGAAUUCGGUCGAAGUGGGCGGAAUAUGACAUGUAGCGGUGAAAUGCUUAGAUAUGUCAUAGAACACCGAUAGCGAAGGCAGCUCACUAGUCCUGGAUUGACGCUCAGGGACGAAAGCGUGGGAGCAAACAGGAUUAGAUACCCUGGUAGUCCACGCCGUAAACUAUCAAUACUCGAUAUUAGCGAUAUACAGUUAGUGUCUAAGCGAAAGUGAUAAGUAUUGCACC
rnacentral:rRNA from 1 species